rnacentral:rRNA from 1 species
GACGGACGCUGGCGGCGUGCUUAACACAUGCAAGUCGAACGGAAAGGCCCUGCUUUUGUGGGGUGCUCGAGUGGCGAACGGGUGAGUAACACGUGAGUAACCUGCCCUUGACUUUGGGAUAACUUCAGGAAACUGGGGCUAAUACCGGAUAGGAACUCCUGCUGCAUGGUGGGGGUUGGAAAGUUUCGGCGGUUGGGGAUGGACUCGCGGCUUAUCAGCUUGUUGGUGGGGUAGUGGCUUACCAAGGCUUUGACGGGUAGCCGGCCUGAGAGGGUGACCGGCCACAUUGGGACUGAGAUACGGCCCAGACUCCUACGGGAGGCAGCAGUGGGGAAUAUUGCACAAUGGGCGGAAGCCUGAUGCAGCAACGCCGCGUGCGGGAUGACGGCCUUCGGGUUGUAAACCGCUUUCGCCUGUGACGAAGCGUGAGUGACGGUAAUGGGUAAAGAAGCACCGGCUAACUACGUG